rnacentral:rRNA from 1 species
CCUACGGGUGGCAGCAGUGGGGAAUAUUGGACAAUGGGGGGAACCCUGAUCCAGCCAUGCCGCGUGUGUGAAGAAGGCCCUCGGGUUGUAAAGCACUUUCAGUGAGGAAGAACGCCUGGUGGUUAAUACCCAUCAGGAAAGACAUCACUCACAGAAGAAGCACCGGCUAACUCCGUGCCAGCAGCCGCGGUAAUACGGAGGGUGCGAGCGUUAAUCGGAAUUACUGGGCGUAAAGCGCGCGUAGGUGGCUUGAUAAGCCGGUUGUGAAAGCCCCGGGCUCAACCUGGGAACGGCAUCCGGAACUGUCAAGCUAGAGUGCAGGAGAGGAAGGUAGAAUUCCCGGUGUAGCGGUGAAAUGCGUAGAGAUCGGGAGGAAUACCAGUGGCGAAGGCGGCCUUCUGGACUGACACUGACACUGAGGUGCGAAAGCGUGGGUAGCAAACAGGAUUAGAUACCCCGGUAGUC